rnacentral:rRNA from 1 species
UACGUAGGGUGCGAGCGUUGUCCGGAAUUAUUGGGCGUAAAGAGCUUGUAGGCGGUGUGUCACGUCGGCCGUGAAAACCUGCAGCUUAACUGUGGGCGUGCGGUCGAUACGGGCAUCACUGGAGUUCGGCAGGGGAGACUGGAAUUCCUGGUGUAGCGGUGAGAUGCGCAGAUAUCAGGAGGAACACCGGUGGCGAAGGCGGGUCUCUGGGCCGUAACUGACGCUGAGGAGCGAAAGCGUGGGGAGCGAACAGG